CAAAAAGUAGCUUACCCCAAAGCACUCGCUUUACACCCGAGGGACGUUAGAUUUUAACCUUUUUGA
rnacentral:tRNA from 1 species